rnacentral:lncRNA from 1 species
GGAGUCUGGCAGUCUCUCUUUUGUCAAGUAUUGGAGCUUAGGGCAGUCCCAGAUACGUAAUGUUUCAAGAGAGGUGAGGUGUUGAAGACCCGCUUGUGUCAAGGAUUGGAGCCCUGGGCAGCCCGAGAUUUUUAGUUCUAUGAGGGAGGUAAGGUGCUGAAGACCAGAGAGGACCUGGAGUCCAGGGCACAUGCGGAUGGUUAACAUUUGAAGAGAGGUAAGAUGCUGAAAAACUGAGCCUGUCAAGGACUGGAGCUUAUCGCAGUCUGAGAUGUUUAAUUCCACAAGGGAAGGAAAAUGUUGAAACCACUCUUCUGCAAAAAAUUGGAGCUCAGGGCAGCCGCCGAUGUAUAAUGUUGUGAGAGA